CUGGCUCAGGACGAACGCUGGCGGCAUGCCUAACACAUGCAAGUCGAACGGAGUUGAGGAGCUUGCUCCUUGAACUUAGUGGCGGACGGGUGAGUAACGCGUGAGUAACCUGCCUUUCAGUGGGGAAUAAUAUUCUGAAAAGAGUACUAAUACCGCAUAACGUAUAGAAACCGCAUGAUUUUUAUACCAAAGAUUUAUCGCUGAGAGAUGGACUCGCGUCCGAUUAGCCAGUUGGUGAGGUAACGGCUCACCAAAGCAACGAUCGGUAGCCGGACUGAGAGGUUGAACGGCCACAUUGGGACUGAGACACGGCCCAGACUCCUACGGGAGGCAGCAGUGGGGGAUAUUGUGCAAUGGGGGAAACCCUGACAACCAGCAAUGCCGCGUGAAGGAUGAAGGUCUUCGGAUUGUAAACUUCUUUUGUCAAGGACGAUAAUGACGGUACUUGACGAAUAAGCUCCGGCUAACUACGUGCCAGCCGCAGC
rnacentral:rRNA from 1 species